AGGCUAUUUAACGUUUUUCAUCGAAGUAGCAAGAACUGUAUGCUAAUUCCAUUCACAGUUUAUAACUUUCAUCAUCCUUUAUUAUAAAAUUACUGUGGAAGAAGUUCACGUCCAUCUUCAAGAACUUGAUGAGAGUAUUACAGCACAGAAGCAAGUCAAUGAGGCUCUAGGCAACUGAGGAUCCGGCCGCACUCCACUAAACUGGGAAUCACACUCCGCCAUUGCCCUCGCCGCCGCCAAGGGCAUCGCAUUCACUCUGAGAA